rnacentral:rRNA from 1 species
GACGAACGCUGGCGGCGUGCCUAAUACAUGCAAGUAGAACGCUGAAGAGAGGAGCUUGCUCUUCUUGGAUGAGUUGCGAACGGGUGAGUAACGCGUAGGUAACCUGCCUGGUAGCGGGGGAUAACUAUUGGAAACGAUAGCUAAUACCGCAUAAAAUUGAUUAUUGCAUGAUAAUUAAUUGAAAGAUGCAACUGCAUCACUACCAGAUGGACCUGCGUUGUAUUAGCUAGUUGGUGAGGUAACGGCUCACCAAGGCGACGAUACAUAGCCGACCUGAGAGGGUGAUCGGCCACACUGGGACUGAGACACGGCCCAGACUCCUACGGGAGGCAGCAGUAGGGAAUCUUCGGCAAUGGGGGGAACCCUGACCGAGCAACGCCGCGUGAGUGAAGAAGGUUUUCGGAUCGUAAAGCUCUGUUGUAAGAGAAGAACGGGUGUGAGAGUGGAAAGUUCACACU